rnacentral:rRNA from 1 species
GGAGGAUCCGAGCGUUAUCCGGAUUUAUUGGGUUUAAAGGGUGCGUAGGCGGCCUAUUAAGUCAGGGGUGAAAUACGGUGGCUCAACCAUCGCAGUGCCUUUGAUACUGAUGGGCUUGAAUCCAUUUGAAGUGGGCGGAAUAAGACAAGUAGCGGUGAAAUGCAUAGAUAUGUCUUAGAACUCCGAUUGCGAAGGCAGCUCACUAAGCUGGUAUUGACGCUGAUGCACGAAAGCGUGGGGAUCGAACAGGAUUAGAUACCCUGGUAGUCCACGCCCUAAACGAUGAUAACUCGAUGUUGGCGAUAGACAGCCAGCGUCCAAGCGAAAGCGUUAAGUUAUCCACCUGGGGAGUACGCCCGCAAGGGUGAAACUCAAAGGAAUUGACGGGGGCCCGCACAAGCGGAGGAGCAUGUGGUUUAAUUCGAUGAUACGCGAGGAACCUUACCCGGGCUUGAAAGUUAGUGAAGGAUGCAGAGACGCAUCCGUCCUUCGGGACACGUAACUAGGUGC